AUCCUGGCUAGGACGAACGCUGGCGGCGUGCUUAACACAUGCAAGUCGAACGGGAGUAUUGAAGAAGCUUGCUUAGAGAUACUUAGUGGCGGACGGGUGAGUAACGCGUGAGGAGCUGUCCUAUGCAGGGGGACAACAGCUGGAAACGGCUGCUAAUACCCCAUAAGCCGAGAGGUAAAAGGAUCAAUCCGGCAGAGGAGGUACUCGCGUCCUAUCAGCUAGUAGGUGAGGUAACGGCUCACCUAGGCGAAGACGGGUAGCCGGCCUGAGAGGGCGAACGGCCACACUGGAACUGAGAUACGGUCCAGACUCCUACGGGAGGCAGCAGCGGGGAAUAUUGGGCAAUGGGGGAAACCCUUGACCCAGCGACGCCGCGUGGGUGAAGAAAUCCUUCGGGAUGUAAAGCCCUGUUGUAUGGGAAGAGCGGAAGACGGUACCAUACGAGGAAGCCCCGGCAAACUACGUGCCAGCCGCUGC
rnacentral:rRNA from 1 species